rnacentral:pre_miRNA from 1 species
UUCUUGCAGCUUUCCAAAAAAUUAGCCCUUUGUGGUGAAAUUUUCCAUGCUUGGUUUCAGCCCAAAGGUGAUUUUUUUUUUUUUUUUGGAAAGUUUGAAA